CCUACGGGAGGCUGCAGUGGGGAAUAUUGGACAAUGGGGGGAACCCUGAUCCAGCCAUGCCGCGUGUGUGAAGAAGGCUCUCGGGUUGUAAAGCACUUUCAGUGAGGAAGAACGCCUGGUGGUUAAUACCCAUCAGGAAAGACAUCACUCACAGAAGAAGCACCGGCUAACUCCGUGCCAGCAGCCGCGGUAAUACGGAGGGUGCGAGCGUUAAUCGGAAUUACUGGGCGUAAAGCGCGCGUAGGUGGCUUGAUAAGCCGGUUGUGAAAGCCCCGGGCUCAACCUGGGAACGGCAUCCGGAACUGUCAAGCUAGAGUGCAGGAGAGGAAGGUAGAAUUCCCGGUGUAGCGGUGAAAUGCGUAGAGAUCGGGAGGAAUACCAGUGGCGAAGGCGGCCUUCUGGACUGACACUGACACUGAGGUGCGAAAGCGUGGGUAGCAAACAGGAUUAGAUACCCCAGUAGUC
rnacentral:rRNA from 1 species